rnacentral:piRNA from 1 species
UGUUCAAAUCAUUCAAAAUAA